rnacentral:rRNA from 1 species
UAGCGGCAGGCCUAACACAUGCAAGUCGCGGGGCGAGCACGGGUAGCAAGUACCUGGUGGCGACCGGCGCACGGGUGCGUAACGCGUAUGCAACCUGCCCCCAUCAGGGGAAUAGCCCGCCGAAAGGCGGAUUAAUGCCCCAUAGGCCCAGGGCGCCGCAUGGCGCCAUGGGUAAAGCUCCGGCGGAUGGGGAUGGGCAUGCGUGCCAUUAGCUAGUUGGGGCGGUAACGGCGCACCAAGGCGACGAUGGCUAGGGGGUCUGAGAGGAUGGUCCCCCACACUGGUACUGAGACACGGACCAGACUCCUACGGGAGGCAGCAGUGAGGAAUAUUGGUCAAUGGGCGGAAGCCUGAACCAGCCAUUGCCGCGUGCAGGAUGACGGCCCUACGGGUUGUAAACUGCUUUUCCCCGGGAAGAAUAAGCCCCUCGUGAGGGGUGAUGCCGGUACCGGGGGAAUAAGGAUCGGCUAACUCCGUGCCAGCAGCCGC